GUGCUAUUUAUUCUUCGAUGAGCAGCAUUGGUGGGGUCCCCUGCCGGGAGGAUGUAAGUGAAUGUUUACAUUCUCGAACGAUGGAUAUAAACACUGUUCGAGUGUACCCUAAACGUAAAAAUUUUCUUUGACGUCGUGACAAAUUGCUAAGGAAAUAAAAUUCGCGUGGCUUUGAAUGACUCAAACAUGAAUAUCGUUUGUGCAGUCUGAAUGGAAUUUCUGCAGCCAUCGGAAGUUACUUGUAAUACACAAUGUGGACACAUUUUUCAUUUGGGAUGUUUGACUCGUUGGUUGCAAAGCAAACCAUCAUGUCCGCAAUGUCGAAGAGAUGUUACUGUAAACGAAAUAAACAGGGCUUAUUUAAAUUUUGUGAAUAACGGUGGAGUCGAAGAAAAGAUCUAAAUAUUGAGAAGCAGAGUGGAAGGUUUGGAGCAUAACAUUGAAAGAAGAAAGGUUAUUAUUAAAAAGAGUACCUUCGGCUCACAGCAAAAGUUCACAAUUGAUAUCUAAGGAUAUGGACAAAUUUUAAGAAAAAACCUUCGGAUUAUGCCGAAAUGUCGAAUGUUUGAUCAAUGAUGUCAAAAAAAUCGCCAGUGCUGCAGAAUCUCGUAAAACUUUAAUUACUUAUAUCAGUGUUAUGAAACUGAGGACGCUGAAAUUACAACAACCUAUACAGCAUAGAACUACUAGAAAGAAGAUUGAUUUAAAUAUAUUGGACUGUCCUGGAGGAGUUUUUUUUCUUUUUUCUUAGUAAUUGUUUUCAGCCGAAAGCUUUUAUCUAAAUCUAAAACCACACAUCUAAUUAUAUUAAAACUCUUAACUGUAUUCAAUACUAAAAAUAUUUAUAGAUUUAGUGAAGUUGACUUUGCACUGAUUGACGUUCUUGAUUUCUAAUAAAAAUUAAUCUUUUUGCAUUGUUUUUGGACAUUUUCGGGUUCAUCUUCACAAUUAUUUAUAUUAAGGUAGCACAAAUAAGAUUUAUUUUGCGCAUGUUUGCAUCUGACCCAUAUUUUUUAUUAAAAAAAAAAACACAAACAAGUUUUGCGGCAAAGUUUCUUCGAACCCAAUUGUAGCUGACGUUUUAUUACGUUAUUAUCAUAAAUCAAAAGAAGAUGGAAAGAAUCUGUUAAUAUUUUCAAUGCCGGUUGAGCUUUCAAGAUUUAUUUUCUUGUAAAUGAGUUUUUUAUUACUUACAUAAAUUAUUCAGGAUACGAAAAAAUGUCUUGGAGAAACCUUUUUCCUCUGUAGAUCCUUUACCAGAAUGAGAAAAGAUGUUAACAUUUUUAUAAUUGUCAGCAAAAAUCUGGUUUGAAGAAACAUUGUUGCAAAACUUUUUUGUGUUUUUUUAUAUGAGUUAUGGGUCUAAUGCAAAAAUGUGCAAAAUAAAUCUUAUGCGUGAUAUCUUUCUUUAAAUAAUUGUGCAGACGAACCUGAAAGAUAUCCAUAAACAAUGCACACAAGUCGAUAUUUAUAAUAUC